rnacentral:rRNA from 1 species
GGGGAAAAAUUAAUAAUUUAUUUUUAAUAAAAAAAAAUUUAAUUUUAAAAUAUUUUAAUUGGGGGGUUAAAGUAUUUUUAGAAAAAAUUUUUAUUUUUAUAGUUAAUUAGUAUUGUAAGAGAAUUUUGAAAUAAUUUUAAAAUAAAAUUAAUAAAAAAGUAAAUUUAAUUUAUUGUAUCUUGUGUAUCAGAGUUUAUUAAAAAUUUUUAUUUAAUAAUAAUUUCUCGAAUUUAAAAGAGCUAAUUAAUUAUUAAAGUUAAUGUAGAAAAAUUAUUUUAAAUAUUUAAUUAGAAAUGAAAUGUUAUUCGUUUUUAAAUAUAUCUAGUUUUUUUAGAAAAAAAUUUAAUUUUAAAUUUUUUGGGGAGAAAAUUAAAUAAUAAAUUUUUUUUUUAAAAAAAAUUUUAUAUUUUGAGGGAUAAGCUUUAAUUUAAAUAAUUAUAAACAAAAUUUUUUAUUGAAAAUUUUAUAAUUUAUAUUGUUAAUAAAAUUUAAUUUAUUAUAAAUAAUUUCAUAAAAAAUAAAAUUUAAUAUAAAUUUAAUUUUUUAUAAAAAAAAAAUUUUUAAUAAAAACAAUUUAGUUAUAAUGAUAAAAUUAGUAUAAUAAUUAACAAAUAAAAAUUAUUAUUUUAUUAAAAAAUAGUAAAAAGGAAUUCGGCAAAAAUUUAUAUUCACUUGUUUAACAAAAACAUGUCUUUUUGAGUUUAUUUAAAGUCUAAUCUGCCCACUGAUUUUUUUUUAUUAAAGGGCUGCAGUAUAUUGACUGUACAAAGGUAGCAUAAUCAUUAGUCAUUUAAUUGAUGACUUGUAUGAAAGAUUGAAUGAAAUAUAAACUGUCUCUUUAUUAAUUUAUAGAAUUUAAUUUUUUAAUUAAAAAGUUAAAAUAAAAUAAAAAGACGAGAAGACCCUGUAGAGUUUUAUAAAUUAAUUUUAUUGAAAAUUAUUUAUAAAUCUUAUAAUUUUGAUUUAAUUAUUUAUUUUAUUGGGGUGAUAAAAAAAUAAAAUAAACUUUUUUUAAAAAAUUUACAUAAAUAAUUGAUUUUUUGAUCCAUUAUUAAUGAUUAUAAGAGAAAAUUACCUUAGGGAUAACAGCGUAAUUUUUUUUUUUAGUUCAAAUAAGAAAAAAAGUUUGCGACCUCGAUGUUGGAUUAAGAUAAAAUUUAAAUGCAAAAGUUUAAAAUUUUGAUCUGUUCGAUCAUUAAAAUCUUACAUGAUCUGAGUUCAAACCGGUGUAAGCCAGGUUGGUUUCUAUCUUUUAUAAAAUAAAAUAUUUUAGUACGAAAGGAUCAAAUAUUUAAAUUAAAUUUAUUUUAAGAAUAUUAUUAAAUAGAAUUACAUUUAUUUAUUUAUUUAUUUAUUAAUUAUAUAUUUAUAUAUAUAUAUAUAUAUAAAUAACAUUUAUAUUA